UGGGGAAUAUUGGACAAUGGGCGAAAGCCUGAUCCAGCAAUGCCGCGUGAGUGAUGAAGGCCUUAGGGUCGUAAAGCUCUUUUACCCGGGAUGAUAAUGACAGUACCGGGAGAAUAAGCUCCGGCUAACUCCGUGCCAGCAGCCGCGGUAAUACGGAGGGAGCUAGCGUUGUUCGGAAUUACUGGGCGUAAAGGGUUCGUAGGUGGCUUGCUAAGUCGGACGUGAAAUCCCUCGGCUUAACCGGGGAAUUGCGUCCGAAACUGGCGAGCUUGAGUGCAGGAGAGGAACGCGGAAUUCCAGGUGUAGCGGUGAAAUGCGUAGAUAUCUGGAGGAACACCGGUGGCGAAGGCGGCGUUCUGGACUGCAACUGACACUGAGGAACGAAAGCCAGGGUAGCAAACGGGAUUAGAUACCCAUGUAGUCCCUGAGCGGGCUGGCAAGGCG
rnacentral:rRNA from 1 species